UAGUUUUGUAUAGCCUCAAUGAUUGGCCACUUGUCCCUAUAAUAUCUUCUUCAUGUGUGAAACCAAUAACUUUAAUAAAGACGUUUAGAAUGAAUGUCUUGAGGUUCUUCAACAUUGGCUGAAAUGGCUAAAACGCUGACACUCUUCAAAGCUUGACCAAGUUUUGUUUUAAGACAGCGAUGUUGUGUUUAUGUUAGGCAAAGACCAUGACUUGGACCUAGCUCAUCUUUUUCGUUGAAUCAGUCAAAAUCCAAACGACAAGUACUCAAAAUCUGCCCUUAAUUAUGAAUCUGUCUUUGUUGGCCAUUGCCUAAACGACAUGUAUCAUUCCCAUUUAAGGAAUCUUAUGCUUUCGAUGUCAUCGUAGGAGGUUCACUAAAAAUUAUCUCAUCAAUCUUUCUUCUUAAAUUGCUUUAACAAGUCUUGUUGCAUGGCAUGCAUGGAAUCUUGGUCAAAAUUCAAGUUAUGUGCCUUUUGUUCCCUCCUUUCCGCUGUCUGUUAAAGCUUAAAGAUUUGAUAGUAGCCUACAAUUUAUAGGUCAUUAAUUUGAUUAAGUUUUCUACGUAAUUAGAACUAAUCUAAUCCAUUUCAUUUGUUCAGAAAACUAUAUAUAAUAGAGAACAAAUUAAUGCCUCAAAGUUAGGGGAAAUUUGGAGGAAAGAUAUUAAAUUAGCGCCAAUUAUUUAUUUAUUGUAAUAAGAUUCAAACCUUAAUCAUUUAAGAAGAAAUAUUCAAUACUCAAUUAUUAGGGGUAUCUUUGAAAGAUAAAUUACUUGUUACUAAUUGUGAUUUCAACAAAAGCAACAGAAGAAAAAAGUAGAGCGAUGAAACCUUGAGUGGGUUGGACUCUUGGUCGUAAAGCAUAGUUUGAAAUUGGUUUGAUGGGCACCGACAAUGAUUAAGAAUUCACUUUUGAGGCUAUAUGAUCAAUGCUUGAAGCAAGAACUAGGAAGAACCAAAUUGAUGGCAAGUUAGAAAGGAGGAAAACAGAUCCAGAAAGAAAAAGAAAAGAAAGAAUUUAAGAAGGGAAAAAAAAAAGAUGUAGAUAGAAGACGUAGAUGGUAGCAAGGAGGGUGGGCCUUUGAUGACCCAAGCCCACUAGUAAUAUUUUUCACAAUCGCCAACUCUCCGUUUCGGGAGCACCUACAAGGUGCAGGCACGUACAGCACGCCUCCUGAUAAAAAAAUCCAAUCAUGGCCCAAAAUGAUCGUAAAACUAGCAUUUUUUUACGUUGGAAGCACCUCAAAGGGUGGGAUAGCUGAUUCGAACCGCUGACCUUGUUUAAGCGUGGAUCAACCCCUACCGCUGAACCACACGCUUGGAGUUAUCGUAAAACUAGUAUGCGACAACAUUAUAGGUUCUAAUUUCGACGUGGGAAUGCAUGGUUGGAAUUAGUUUACAACGAAUUCUGAAGUUAGAGACAAUCGCAUGUUGAUGUGGGUGGUGUAGCGGAUAUUACAAGCGUGGCAUAUCGUGCGAUGUACAGUUCAUAUAUAUGAACAAUAUUCUUUAGUUUC